rnacentral:rRNA from 1 species
UGGGGAAUUUUGGACAAUGGGGGAAACCCUGAUCCAGCCAUCCCGCGUGUGCGAUGAAGGCCUUCGGGUUGUAAAGCACUUUUGGCAGGAAAGAAACGUCGCGGGUUAAUACCCCGCGGAACUGACGGUACCUGCAGAAUAAGCACCGGCUAACUACGUGCCAGCAGCCGCGGUAAUACGUAGGGUGCAAGCGUUAAUCGGAAUUACUGGGCGUAAAGCGUGCGCAGGCGGUUCGGAAAGAAAGAUGUGAAAUCCCAGAGCUUAACUUUGGAACUGCAUUUUUAACUACCGGGCUGGAGUGUGUCAGAGGGAGGUGGAAUUCCGCGUGUAGCAGUGAAAUGCGUAGAUAUGCGGAGGAACACCGAUGGCGAAGGCAGCCUCCUGGGAUAACACUGACGCUCAUGCACGAAAGCGUGGGGAGCAAACAGGAUUAGAUACCCUGGUAGUCCACGCCCUAAACGAUGUCAACUAGCUGUUGGGGUCUUCGGACCUUGGUAGCGCAGCUAACGCGUGAAGUUGACCGCCUGGGGAGUACGGUCGCAAGAUUAAAACUUAAAUGAAUUGACGGGGUCAUACUG